CUCAAUCUAAUUUAUUUCCCAUCAUCUGGGGCAAGAAUGCAGCUGGGUGUCAGGAUUGUCUAGAACUGUGCUGUAGCACCCAUUCUUUACUUAUUCAGCAAAUAUUUAUUGAGUGCCUACUUUGGGCCAGACGUAAGAAAAUGCUGAGUAUUACUUAACUCUUUCACUGGUGGAAAAAUCACAAUGCAGGCUUCCAUUCCAGGCUGCAAUCUAUGAGGAUAAGGGUGCAAAGACAUUAUUACGUUCUUUUUUCAUUUGAAGCUCCACAUAUAGAUACAAAAGAACACAAAUUGUAGGCAUGCACCUCAAUAAAUUUUCCAGCCAUACACUCCCAUGCAACCAACACCCAGAUCAAGCAGCAGCACAUUACGUCGGGUGCAGUGGCUUACAACUGUAAUCCCAGCACUUUUGGAGGCCGAGGUGGGCAGAUCACUUGAGGUCAGGAGUUCGAGACCAAGCCUGGCCAACAUGGUAAAACCCCAUCUCUACUAAAAAUACAAAAAUUAGCUGAGUGUGGUAGUGCAUGCCUAUAAUCCCAGCUACUUGGGAGGCUGAGGCAGGAGAAUCACUUGAACCCAGGAGGUUGAGGCUACAGUGAACUGAGAUGUCACCACUGCACUCCAGCCUGGGCAACAGAGUGAGAUUCUGCCUCAAAAAAAAGCAGCAGCAGCACCUCACACCACCACCAGCACCCCCACCCGCAGAAACCUCGUUUGGAUGUCCCUUCAGUCACUAUCCCCCACCAAAAGCAGCUGCUAUCCUGACUUCUAACAUCAUAGAUUUACUUUAGAAAUCCUGAAAGAAGUGAUAGAUGCAGGAGGCAGAUAAGGGGGAGGGUCCCCAGAGAAUCUCCGAUCCACUUGCGCACCGGGAGAACAAGGUGGAGCCACGGGAAGUCACACCUUGUGCAAGGGCGAGGGGCCUGGCCUCUUCGGCUCAUGCGUGGUGACCUGGAAUCCAUCUGAGGUGGGGGCCUGUUAGCAGGACCCCCUCUCACUUUGCUGAGAGUUUUUUUUUUUUCCCAA
rnacentral:lncRNA from 10 species